CAGAAGAUGUUUUGUUUUAGUCAGAUUGCUUUAAACUGACUCUUAACUCUGCAGUUUGAUUCACUGCAUGUUUCCUCCUAACUGGAAAUGCAUGCACAACAAGCCAGUCUCUCUCUGUACUACACUCCAUAUGAAGUCUGGCACCUGGAACCAUCUCUUUAUUUGGUUAAGUGCAUGGAUACAAGGUCCAGCAUGACAACAGUGACAAGUGAUUUAGAGCCUCUACCCGAACCUCUGAAAGAGCAAGCAUGACACAAAGCUUGGGAAAGUUGCUCACCCAAGGGUGCAGUACUUGAGUACAAACAUGCAUUCUGUCUGCCUGGGAGGCCUUGUCAAACUCUGCUGACACAUCCAAUAUAGAAAAACACUUGCUGAUAUUAGUCUCCAAAAUUCCACCCUUAACAGAAAAUAGCUCUGUAAGAUGGGAACAGCAAGAUCCAUCAAGAGAUGACCCAUCCCAACUCUCUGCCUACAGAUGCCCUUCAGCUAGGAUACUCUUCUUGAAAUGCAACACAACUAAAU